rnacentral:rRNA from 1 species
AGACGUCUACAUUAGAUACCCGCGUAGUCCCAGCCGUAAACUAUGCGCGUUAGGUGUAUCGGUGACCACGAGUUACCGAGGUGCCGAAGGGAAACCGUGAAACGUGCCGCCUGGGAAGUACGGUCGCAAGGCUGAAACUUAAAGGAAUUGGCGGGGAGCACCACAACAGGUGGAGCCUGCGGUUUAAUUGGACUCAACGCCGGGAAGCUCACCGGAUAAAACAGCGGAAUGAUUGCCGGGCUGAAGACUCUGCAUGACUAGCUG